rfam:Berkelbacteria bacterium GW2011_GWA1_36_9 TS31_C0003, whole genome shotgun sequence.
GGGCGUAUAGCUCAGUGGCAGAGCGCUUCGUUCACAUCGAAGAGGUCGAAGGUUCGAUACCUUCUACGCCCA